rnacentral:lncRNA from 1 species
AGAUCCGGAACUCCCCUCGGCUACACCUUUCCCCGGGCUCUUCCCUCCGCUCCUCCCCGUGGCCCCCUCCCCUCUGGCGGCCACCGCAGAGCUCCGACUGACCCGUGUGCCUCGCUCUGCCAGGCUGCCUUCCUCUCUACCUGCCCCCUUCCAGAUCCGCAGUCCCCUGCUCUCCACGCGAGCCCCCUUCACAGUCCCUGCUACCUUGUAACUAACUUGCACUUUUCCCGAGUCCGGUUCUUAGCCUUUGCCCUGCAGCUCAGCUCCUUAAAGCUUUCAGAUCCCCAAACUUUUAUUGUAAUUAUGGACAAUAACUCCGUCCUUAACGCCUGUGCCCUCCGGGAUCCCGUGGCCCGCCGCCCCCUCCGUUGGACCUGGAGUCGCUCUCGUCUGCACCUCUCCCUUAGACCCACUUCCCUGAGCCCCUUGUCGAGAGGCUUUCAGGAAGCCAACCAGGAAGUGGGACUACCGCUGCUGCUGCAGCAGCUCCACGUGGCUGAUUUAUAGCUGAAGGGUUUUUUUUUUUCCUUCUUAUUGAUUGUUCUUGCUUUUUCACACGGCUCCUUAAGGUGGUGAAUUUGUAACCGAAAGGCCCAGGUGAGAUGUGCAAAUAUCACUGGAUUGGAGGAGCUCACUUGGAAAGCCAGUAUUCCUCCUGAGCUAAUGAAAAGAAAGGCUGUCGUCUUAUGCCAAAAGCAAUACCAACCUUGUUCACGGGCUGAGAUCUAGAGUGUGUAAUUCACGAAGUAUGAAUCUGCUGGGUAAUGUGAUAUGAAAAGCGAAUGCACCAUUUCUUGGUGAUGAUUCAGGUCAGCGUUGGGACCCAGGAAUCUCCUGUUAAUCAGUACCCUGGUGAUUUUGAUCCAGAGACGGGGUCUAUUAUCUGGUCCUGUUGUCAAGGCUGGUCUCAAACUCCUGGCCUCCAGCGAUCCUCCCUUUUUGGCCUCCCAAGAUGCUGGUAUUACAGGCAUGAGCCACCAUGGUCCACCCGGACUCCUUUUCAUAGGAGACAGUUCCCUAGGCAGAGACUGGGCUUGAAACAGGUAACUUACAAGGCAUCCUGUGAUCAUAAGAGAAUAAUUCCAUUUGAAAUCAGCAGCUGAAGUCCACCUGAAUAAUUAAGUCUUUCACUUGUGUUAUUUUCACAGGGGAGACAGUUUUUUAUUCUUAAGAAGGUAGGAAGCUUUAUUUUUACUGUUAUGAGCAUAGCUGGGCAAGUAUGCAAAUGGAAAGUGAUACCUAUCAUCAAAGUAUUGAGGAUGGUCCUUUGAAGGCCCUAGUAUUCUGAGAACAUCCUGCCACCACUACCACCCCCCAACUUUAGUUUUACACAGAGAACUUAAAAUAUGUGUGAAAGAGUAUAUAGUUAUACAGUUGUAUAUUGAUGAAUAGGUAUAUAGUUGUAAAAGUUUAUGUUUCUCUGAGUCUUAAUAACUUUUAAAAGAAACUGCAAGUAAACUAACACAGGAACAGAAAACGAAAUAUUGCAUGUUCUCACUUAUAAGUGGGAGCUAAAUGAUGAGAACACAUGGACACAUAGAGGGGAACAACACACACUGGGGCCUAUUGGAGGGUGGAGGGUGGGAGGAGGGAGAGGAUCAGGAAAAAUAACUAAUGUGGGUACUAGGCUUAAUACCUGGGUGAUGAAAUAAUCUGUACAAACCCCCAUAACACAAGUUUACCUAUGUACCAAACCUGCACAUGUACCCCUGAACUUAAAAGUUUAAAAAAAGUGCAAAUAUACCUUAAAACAUAUGCCCAUUGCAGUAUUUGCUGGGAGGCAGCCUUUGUAGGGUUGACAGAACUCGUUUAGAAAAUGAGGAGCUACAUUCAAAGCUUCAGUCAAGAUAAAUCACGUACCUCUCUGAACCUAGGGCUUUUAUCUGCCAAAUAGUGAUUACAAUACUCAACCUUAUGAUGUUCUCAAAAGGAAUAAUUGAGAUCAAGUACAUAUACAAAUAUAAAGUACAAUUAGUGUAAUGGAACAAGUCUCAGGUGCGUGUGGCUAUAAUUCUUGUUUUAUGAAUGCUGCAGUUCCUCUAAAGAAGAGGGUAGAGACUAGAACUGAAUGAGAUGGACAUAGAGAUGGCCAAGAAAAGCAUCGUCCUCUGCCAAGUCAUGGGGUCAUGUGUGGUGGAUGGUGACAUGGUGUCCUCAGCUCAGAGUCCAGCUGGGGGCUCAGAAGCAAGAUAAAAAUGUGUAUGAAGGUGGAGCCUUGUCUAUCUAGUUCGUUAUUGUUAUCCGUGUCUGGUAUGUGGAAAGGGCUCAGUGAGUAUUUCUUGAUGGAAUGCUGAAUGAAUAAUGGGAUUGAAAAUAUAAAAGGCAGACAAAACUUAGAAGAGGGGCCAGGUUUACUUCAAUUGCUAUUCCUCCUCACUGGGAGGUUUUUCUUCCAAGGACAAAACUUUGGAGGUUUUAUUAAAUUAGAAAAGUGAUUAUUUUACAUAUGGUCAUCAUCAUCAAUUGAUAGGCUGUUGUUUCCCCCUUACUCAGCAUCCUACUAAGGCUGCUUAGAACUAAGAAGAAAGGGUAAUUUUAAUUUAAGUUCAUAUUUUUGUAUGUACGGAGAUUUAAAAAAAACAGCUACAUUAAAAUGGGAAUAUGUAGCCAUAGGGAAUUAUUUGCAAACAAAUUUCAGUAUUAUCUAUGUGUGGUUGCCAAGAACUCAGGUUAAAUUAGAGUCAGUGACCUCUAAAUGACUAAAUAUCCUAUCACCUAUUCUAUAAGCCAUUUAAUCACCUCUUUUCAAAGAAGAAGAGCACAAUUGGUAGUAUCUUUAAAGGAAGAUACAUUUUAUUGUUUAGAAAAUAACUACUAUUUAGAUAUCAAGGGAAGCAUAGUGUAAGUUUGUUAAGAAUUUAUUAAUUUUGUGUACUGUUCAUUAGUUACCUCUUACUGCUUAACAAAUGACUCCAAAGUUUAGCACUUUCAAACAACAAACAUUUACUUCACACAGUUCCUGAAGUCAGGAAUCUAAGAGUGGCUUAACAAGGUGGUCUGGCUCAGGGUCUCUCAUGAGGUUCUUACCAAACUAUCAGCUGGGACCACUAUCAUAACCAACUGGGCCUGGAGAAUUUGCUGUCAAGUUCACCCACAUGGCCAGCAGGCAGGCCUCAGUUCCUCACUGGCAGGCGGUGGGAGGCUUCAGUUCCUUGUCACCUGGGCUUCUCCACAGGGCUACUCAUGACAUGCCAAGCUGACUUCCCCCCUUCAUGAAAGAUCUGAGGGAGAGAGAGCCCAAGGCAGAAUCCACAGUCUUGUAUAAGAAAUAAUCUGUAUACUGCCUUCAUCUGUAAAAUGAAGGUGUUGGACCAAAUGAUCUUUAACAUUCUUUCCAAUACUGAAAUUCUGAGAUUUUCCUAUGAUGCCGAUGUGUGAUUGAGACUAAUUUGUGCUUUCAUGUGGAAUACUAUGAGGUAAAAUCCUGCCUUUGUACUUUUUUUCUGACAUGGGGUACUAUUUCUAUCAUAAGCUUGAGAUGGAUAAUUCCUGAGUUGUGCUCAUCUGGAAUAAAGGACUGUUGUCAAGGGCUUCCAUUUAAUGAGGUUAAGGGUCUCCUACAGUGUUUGGAAAGCAAAAAUAUUUAUGUAAAAGCCCUCAGAUUUCACAUCGUAGAACACUACCUCUUCAUAAUUUGGUACUGUUUUUGGACUCCCAUAAUUCAGAAGUGCUCUUCUGAUCUAACCAUUUAUUUAAGAGGUGAUUGAAACGGAUUUUGUCUCUUACCACUCUUGUUUAAAACCUCUUCAACAGCUUCCCAUUGCUCUUAUAUUUAAGCCCAAAUUCCUCCAUUUAUUACAAAGCCUUUGUGAGCUUGCCUCUGCUUACCUCUGCAGCCCCAUGGCUGGUCAGUUAUCCCCUCUUUUGCAACUUAAACUAUAGCCAUGUUGAUUUUCUCUCCAUUUCUGAAAUAGGCUAACUUCCCUCUCACUUCUAGACCUUGUGUGUGUUAUUCUCUCGCUUAGAACACUCUGUGGUUCUUACACCAACCCCUCUCCCAUGAACUCCCUGAUAAUCCUUCAGAUUUCAAUUUAUACAUCAGUUCUUUCAGAAACCUCUAAUUGUCUUCAGUCCCCGAUCCCACUGCUAGGUUAGAAGACCCUCCUUCAUGCUCUCAAAGCACCCUGUAAGUUCUCCCUCAGAGCAUAUAGACCAAGUUUCUUUUCUUUUCUUUUCUUUUCUUUUCUUUUCUUUUUUUUUUUUAGACGUAGUCUUGCUCUGUUGCCAGGCUGGAGUGCAGUGGCCCCAUCUCAGCUCACUGCAACCUCUACCUCCCGGGUUCAAGCGAUUCUCCUGCCUCAGCCUCCCGAGUAGCUGGGACUAUAGGCAUGCGCCACCACCCAUCUAAUUUUUGUAUUUUCAGUGGAGAUGGUGUUUCACCGUGUUGGCCAGGAUGGUCUCAAUCUCUUGAACUCAUGAUCCGCCCGCCUUGGCCUCCCAAAGUGCUGGGAUUACAGGCAUGAGCCACCGCGCCUGGCCUAGACCAAGUUCCUUAAGGGCAAGGACCAUGUUCGAAUUUGGCAUUGUGUCUCUAGAUGUUGACCAUGCUUGGCACAGAAGAGAUGCUCAGUAUUAAGAGACUGAACAAGUGAAAAUAUAUUUCCUGUGUUCACUGUUAAGCGUGGGGAAAAAGGAGUUGCAUAAGUAAAAAUACUAAUUUAAAAGCCCUCAGAUUUCACAGUGUGGAACACCACCUCUUCAUAAUUUGGUACUGUUUUUGGACUUCUAUAAUUCGGUAGUCUUCUUAUUUAAGAAGCAUUCUUUAAUAGCUCUUAAAAUAUGAUAAUAUCUAAAUGAUUUGCAGAAGCAUUUUAUAGGUAGAUGGUUUUGCCUUUAUUUGGGUGUUGGGGAAGAAGGGUACAGUAUUCUACAUUUUACCUGACCAAAAAGAGUACUGUAAUUCCUAGAUAAUAAACUGAUAGCUAUUUGAAACUGCCUGUUGGCUCACUGAAGGGAAAAUGCAUUGCCCACAACCUCAUAUCUUUCAUGUGGGAACCCAGUACCUAUAAGACAAACUGGCCUCUCUCUGUUACUAUUGAUAAUCUCUUAGAGCAUAACUUCUAAAUAAUGGGUGGAAUGGAAAGGAACUCUGUCAGUGAAAGGGCUAGAGAACCUGCCCUGCUAUAUGCAGAUUAAGAGAUUUGGCUAGACUCAAAUUUCUAAUUUCCUUUAAAAUGCUCAAAUUUCUUAAAACUAGGGUAUGAAAUGCACUGAAGAAAGACUCAGGUUCUCAGCAGUGUGGUUAGUUAAAUGACCUGAAAGUCUUCAAAACUGGUAUUUAUCAAGGUAUUACUGUAAGUCGUCUUACAGUCUGUGCACAUAAACCUCUCCACCAGCAAGCAGACUAGUUUCAGACAGUUAUCAAUCUGUUAUCACAUCCUUCCAGAGAUCCUGAUUAUCUAGCUAUGCCUAGAACCUGACAUUCUUUAUUGUGGGAACCUAUAAGACAAACUAGCCUCUCUCUUGUUAAUACUGAUUAUCUCUUAGAGCAUAACUUAGACACAACAGGGGUGGAAUAGAAAGAAACUAUGUCAGUGAAAAGGCCAGAUAACCCAUGCUGCCAUAUGUAAAAUGAGAGGUUUGGCUAAACCACAUUGGGCAUAGCUGGAUAAGCAGGAUCCCUGGAGGUGUGUGAAGAUGUGUGGACAGGAGAAAAAAGUCGGAGAGGAGGGGACAUUCCUGUGCUUGACUAUCUUCUGAACGUUUUUUGAUUAAUUUGUAUAAAAUUGGGUUAUUUUAGUAAUGGAGUAUGUCUUCAAGCCUUUUUAGGCAUUUGAGACAUAAACAGUUACACACAAAUAAAGGAACUGAGGUUCAGACUACAGAGAGAUGAUGCGAGAGAUUCUCCCAAAUGAUCCAGGAAUUAAGAGGCUGGACAGGGACUAGAGAUCUGUUAAUUCCAAACCUUUUACUUCCCAACUAUGCCAUCUUGCUAAUGUCCAGAAAUUUCAUCCUUUCUUUAGUUUGUAACAACUGAACAAUGACAAGUACAUUUUCUCUUUUAUUUGAACAUGUGGCUCUGUAUUAAAUGACUAUUUGGAGAGCCACAACAGAGUUGUGAGCUAAGAGUGCUGAUCUUCAGGGGAGCUCAAAAUACUGCCAUUUAGGUAAAUGUACCUUUUAUCAUACUGCAAAGAGUUAUGAAAUUUGAAUUUUAAUUACAUUUCUUUUUUGGAGAGUGAUCUUUGAGGACUUGGUUUUGUGGGAUAACUUCUUUUUUCAAACCAUAUAAAAUUAUUUUUAACAAAUGGCAUCCUUUUGUAUAAUCUUUUCUUGUAUAUUUUUAGAUAUUUCUAUUCAACAUUUUUUGAGCUUGUGUCACGUGCUAUUCAUUGUUCUAGAUGCUGGAAAUACAGCAGUAAACUAAAAGCCAAAAUCCUUGUCCCCAUAGAGUCAGACAAUAAGCCAAAUAUGUAUAUUAUUACAUACUGUUAUUGAAUAAACUGCUGUAUCACCAUGUGCCAAGCCUUAUUCUAAGAGUAUACAAAGAUUAACUCAUUCAUUUAGAUAGCAUGUUAGAAGAUAAAUGCAAUGGAGAGAAAUAAGCCAGGGAAAUGGAAUGUGGAAUGCUGGAGAGGGGUGAGGGGAGGAUUCCAUUUUACACAGUCUGAGAAGAUAAUAUGUGAACAAGACCUGGAGAUGAGGGCACAGCCAAAUGGGUAUCUGAAGGGAGAUGGCUCCAAGCACAAGGAGCAGCAAAUGUGAGGCCUUGAGGCAAGAAUGUUCCUGCUUGUUUGAGGAAAAGCAAGGACAUAAGGACAGCUGUAGCUAAGAAAGUGAAGGGAGAGCAUUAGAUCAUAGUAAAGACUGUGGCACUUAUUUAGAGUGACAGGGGAAGCCAUCGGAGAGUUUGGUGCAGAGGUGGUGUCAUCUAACUUACAUCUAAAUAGGAUCACAGCCUCUGGCUUCUGGGUUUGGUUUGGAAAAGAAAAAGAUAAAAGCAAGUAUCAGUUAGGAGGCCAUUGUGAUAGCAUAGAGUAGGUUUGUAACAGUAGAGGUGGGUAGAAUAUGUCAGAAUGGGGAUAUAUUUUGAUUAUUCUUCAGCUAUUAUGAUUCCAACUAAUUAGGCUUGUUGUUUUGGUUCCUGGCUCUCUAUAAGUAGUUAAAUUAAUAACAUGUAAAGCAAACUCGAAAUGCUCUGGCAUCACACAUUAUUUAAAUAAACUGUGCAAGCGAUUAGUUGGCAUUUUGUUAAACAUCUUUGUUUAGAUUUUCAUGUAUCAAAUAAUAUAAUAUUUUCUUUUCCUUU